CACCUGCUUUCCUGUAAAUGGAGAAGAGAGGCAGCAUUCAAUUCAAGUGUGUAGUCAGUUCAGACUCCAUUUAGAGGAACACUGAAGGCUGAAGCAGGAUUCCAUCAUCAUGUGAUCUGAGUUCAUUAGUUUGAGCCAUUCUUCCAUUUGCUUCCAGAAGAAGUUGAUAACUGACUGAAGUCAGAAGAUGGAGAAAGAGUCUACAGCAUCCAGCUGUCUGUCUAUGAAGAGUGACUGGUCCAAAGGUCAACCUCCACAGUUCAGGGAAGAACCUGGACCCUCAGACACACAGAGGCUUCAUCAGUCGACAGGAUGAAUAUAAAUGCUCAACUGUACAGAAACUCAAAGCUGAUGUUGGUCUGCAAGAGGUUUUAGAUGAACAUAAGAUCAGUCUGAGGAGGAGAU